AGAGUUUGAUCAUGGCUCAGGACGAACGCUGGCGGCGCGCCUAAUACAUGCAAGUCGAGCGAGAACCGGGGCUUCGGCCCCGGGGAGAGCGGCGAACGGGUGCGUAUCACGUGAGCAACCUGCCUCGGAGACCGGAAUAACUCGAGGAAACUCGGGCUAAUGCCGGAUGCCCUCGGUGGACCGCAUGGUCCGGCGAGGAAAUGGAUUCCGCUCCGAGAUGGGCUCGCGGCCUAUCAGCUUGUUGGUGGGGUAACGGCCUACCAAGGCGACGACGGGUAGCUGGUCUGAGAGGACGAUCAGCCACACUGGGACUGAGACACGGCCCAGACUCCUACGGGAGGCAGCAAUAGGGAAUCUUGCGCAAUGGGGGAAACCCUGACGCAGCGACGCCGCGUGCGGGAUGAAGGCCUUCGGGUCGUAAACCGCUUUCAGCAGGGACGAAAUUGACGGUACCUGCAGAAGAAGGCCCGGCCAACUACGUGCCAGCAGCCGCGGUGAUACGUAGGGGUCUAGCGUUGUCCGGAAUUAUUGGGCGUAAAGAGCUCGUAGGCGGUUCGGCAAGUCGGAUGUGAAAUCUCCACGCUUAACGUGGAGGGGCCAUUCGAAACUGCCGUGACUCGAGUCCGGUAGGGGAGUUCGGAAUUCCCGGUGUAGCGGUGAAAUGCGCAGAUAUCGGGAGGAACACCAGUGGCGAAGGCGGAACUCUGGGCCGGAACUGACGCUGAGGAGCGAAAGCGUGGGGAGCGAACAGGAUUAGAUACCCUAGUAGUCC
rnacentral:rRNA from 1 species